rnacentral:lncRNA from 1 species
GCCACCGGGGCCUGAGUCUCCGUUGGCUCUCCAGCGAAGCGGGGUACCCGCCUCGGAGAGCUGGGAGGGGGCCCAGCGGGGCUCCUGGCGAGGCGCCCGCACGCUGUGAGCCCUCCCCAAACGGCAGCUUAAAUUACAAACAAAAAGAGAAGCUGGGGAAGUCAGGAUGGGCCCAGGCUGCUUGUGACAGGGACCCACAUCCAGGCAGGAGGGAGGCCUGCUCUUCCCACCUUCCAGCUCUCGGAGCCACAUGCCCCGCAGCCCGCAGGCCUCCGUCCAGCUGCGCCUGGGCCGACAGUGUCCCCAUCUUCCCGGCGGGGCGAGGACCAGAGGGGCGCCUGCCAUCCUGCUCUCACCAUUGGGGUGAGCCCCUCUCUCAGCUCCCCCCGCCCGACGCUGUGUCAGCAGCUUGAGAACAAACCCCCCGGGAGUGGGUGCUGCUGGGAACACACCCUCAUGCGUGGUGCACGGCGUCCAGACUGUCAUUCCUUUCGGAUUUCUGGAAACCUCGAAGCUGAGGACUUUCCAGCAGGAAAGGCCGGGAGACCAGUCUCCACCAGGGGCAUCUCCCAGCAGCGUCCGAUUUGGCCGCUGCCCUUCUGGGUCCGGGGAGGCAGCAGGUGGCACCCAGCAGGCCUGUGCGGGUUUGCCGCGGGUGGCGUGCAGACAGCAGACACCGGGCCACGGCCCCUGGGGUCCCCUGCCUCCCGCCUGCUCCCCUCUAGGACCCUCUACUCUCUUGACUCUCCCUGGGGCCCGGGAGACAGUGGUGGCUCAGGGUGAGAUUCUGGGACACCUAAAACCACCAGCUGAGUGGCAGCCGGGGGUGCGGCGUCCCCGGGGGGUUCCUGAGCCCUCUAUGUCCAGCUACUUCUGAAUUUCCGGCGGUGGGUCUGGGAAUCUGCCUUUGUGACAACCGUCCCCGAUGCACGUGCAGUGUUUCCUGGUGGGGAGAUGGUCGCACACGGAGGGGAAGGGACUUACCCACAGCUGAGAGGCUGCAGGACGCAAAGCCAGGUCUCCUGAUGUCCCCAGCACACGUUUCCCACCUCAUCGGGACACACUUUCUGGAAUGUGGAAUUUUCCGUAGGGACACGGAUCCAAUUUUACAAUAGGAGCUCUCCGAAGCCAGUAUCUUCUGUCAGAAAUUCAGGCCAUCGCCACUUUACCGGAGGAAGGGUGUUCCAGGGAGCAAGGGGUGUCUGCCGUCUCCCUGUCCCCAUGCCCAGAUCCUCUGCGUGUUACUUUCCUGCCCAGCGGGGGCCAAGAGGUCCUGGCAGGGCCUGCUCGCCGGCAGAUGUCCCUGCAAACCUGUCCCAAGGCUGCUAGGAGGACACCGGACACACAGGGAGCGGGGAGAGGCGGCCCCUGAGCCCGAGAGCCGAGAUGGGCACUGAGCGGUCAGUGGGGUGCGGUGGGGGGUGUGGCAUUUCUCCCCCAAGGGAGUCACAGGCACAAGGCCGACUCUGUCACGACGGGGGUCUUCAAGGCUUUCUUCUCCACUGCCUGAGGCUUGGAGAAAGUUCUUCUUGUUCCAGGGAGCCAGACCCAGAGGGAGCGUCAUUAGCUGCCUAUGGAAAGAGGAAACGCCUUCUGGAUAUUUCUUUCCCCACCAGCAAGGAUAAUCAUGCUGUUGAAGCCAUUUAUUGAGUGUUAUUAUGUGCUAAACCCCUUCUGUGCCCUACAGACACAGUCC